rnacentral:rRNA from 1 species
GACGAACGCUGGCGGCGUGCUUAACACAUGCAAGUCGAACGGUAAGGCUCCAGCUUGCUGGGGUACACGAGUGGCGAACGGGUGAGUAACACGUGGGUGACCUGCCCUGCACUUCGGGAUAAGCCGGGGAAACUGGGUCUAAUACCGGAUAGGACCAUGGUGUGGAUACUGUGGUGGAAAGUUUUUUCGGUGUGGGAUGGGCCCGCGGCCUAUCAGCUUGUUGGUGGGGUAAUGGCCUACCAAGGCGGCGACGGGUAGCCGGCCUGAGAGGGUGGACGGCCACAUUGGGACUGAGACACGGCGCAGACUCCUACGGGAGGCAGCAGUGGGGAAUAUUGCACAAUGGGCGGAAGCCUGAUGCAGCGACGCCGCGUGGGGGAUGACGGCCUUCGGGUUGUAAACUCCUUUCACCAUCGACGAAGGGUUUCUGACGGUAGAUGGAGAAGAAGCACCGGCUAACUACGUG